GACAGAGGGUGCAAACGUUGUUCGGAAUUACUGGGCGUAAAGCGCGUGUAGGCGGCUUUGCAAGUCGAGUGUGAAAUCCCACGGCUCAACCGUGGAAGUGCACUCGAAACUGCAAGGCUAGAGUCCUGGAGAGGAAGGUGGAAUGCUUGGUGUAGAGGUGAAAUUCGUAGAUAUCAAGCGGAACACCGGUGGCGAAGGCGGCCUUCUGGACAGUGACUGACGCUGAGACGCGAAAGCGUGGGGAGCAAACAGG
rnacentral:rRNA from 1 species